rnacentral:rRNA from 1 species
UACGAAGGGGGCUAGCGUUGCUCGGAAUCACUGGGCGUAAAGGGUGCGUAGGCGGGUUUUAAGUCAGAGGUGAAAUCCUGGAGCUCAACUCCAGAACUGCCUUUGAUACUGAAAGUCUUGAGUAUGGGAGAGGUGAGUGGAACUGCGAGUGUAGAGGUGAAAUUCGUAGAUAUUCGCAAGAACACCAGUGGCGAAGGCGGCUCACUGGCCCGGUACUGACGCUGAGGUGCGAAA